UAAUACGGAGGGGGCAAGCGUUAUUCGGAAUCAUUGGGCGUAAAGGGCGCGUAGGCGGCUUGGCAAGUCGAAGGUGAAAUCCCCCGGCUCAACCGGGGAACUGCCUUCGAAACUGCCAGGCUAGAGUCCGGGAGAGGGUAGUGGAAUUCCCAGUGUAGCGGUGAAAUGCGUAGAUACUGGGAGGAACACCAGUGGCGAAGGCGGCUACCUGGACCGGAACUGACGCUGAGGCGCGAAAGCGUGGGGAGCAAACAGGAUUAGAUACCCUGGUAGUCCACGCUGUAAACGAUGGGCACUCGGUGCUGCGGGUAUCGACCCCUGCGGUGCCUUAGCUAACGCGUUAAGUGCCCCGCCUGGGGAGUACGGUCGCAAGGCUG
rnacentral:rRNA from 1 species